rnacentral:lncRNA from 1 species
ACUAAUCAACCCACUAGCAACCAGAAAUGCUAAUUAUCUCUAACUUUACUACUGUAGAGCGAUACUCAACAUAAGACUAAUAGCAAAAUAACACUCACAACUAAAAGAAUGACUAUGGAGAUACUCUAAGAAUUCAAAGAAAGACCAUAACAAUUGAUAAAAAAUAUCUGCCCACGCGAACAAGUGCGAGGCUCACCAAGAAUUUUCAACAUGUGCGCUCUAAUUAACAAAUUGCUCGCAUGUGUCAAGUGCUGUCUCUGAAAAAAAAUAGCGAGGAAUGAGUCACUAGCUCAAUGAGUAAUAAUACUUAACCACAACCGUUUUCAUUUGGUGACAAGUCAGAAACAUGCUAGUAUCUCAAAGAGAAAAUAAUAUAAACACGCCCUUUCAGAAACAAUAAACAAUUUUUUUCAGUCUCAUCACGCCUUUCUUGAAGUAAAAUAUAAUUAACAAUUCAGUAAUAAGCUCGGUAACCACUAUAUAAUUUCAGUAUUCAUAUUUUUGGGAGGUUUCGAUAUGGAUCAUGUAAUCGGUAUAAUUAUGGACUUCUUCGCAAGAAGUCAAAUAUAACGGUAGUCCCUGCUCAAGAGAAAUCGGUAACAGUAUGCUACUUCUACCUUCCCACUAGCGAGGGCUAUUACAGUAAUCGAUAGUUACAAGGUGCACCAGGUCUAACGAACCCGCCGUUAGCUACGGGAUCAUUCAAUGUCUACUCUCAUUUAUACUUGUCUCUGUAAUCUGUAUAUACUUGUAAAAAUAUUUUAAAACAAUAUAGGGCAUUUCGGUUCUUACCAAAUCAUAUAAUUUCUUUUCGAUAACGGUAAAUUCAAGUAACGGUAAAAUCGAUCAAGUGAUAACAAAAAUAUUUAAAAUCAUGGUAUUCAUCUCAAAUAACUAUUUUGGUAUCAUAUAAAGUAAAGACUUGUCCCACAUGCAACUCAAAAUAAUCGGUAACAUAUUCAUAUUAAAAAUCAUGUGUAAAUCAUGCAAAUUAUGAAACACAAAUUGCGGUAAGAUUACUACUCACUGUACUCGUGUCGAUAUACUAAAUGCGCCACCUCGAGCAGUGGCGGAUUUAGGAAUUCAAGUUUGUGGGUGCUGAAUUUUUUUUGUACAUAAAAUUAAUGGGUGCUUUUGUAAAUUUUUAUACGUUUUCUUAAAUUUUCUAUAUAACUAUAAAUACUCUGCGUCGAGGUUAAUGAGUGCUUGAGCACCCAAAUUUUAUGUGUAGAUCCGCCACUGACCUCCAGCACUUCGUUUAAUUUCCUCCACUACCUAUAUUAUUACAUAACCAAUAGAUAAAUCAACAUUUUGAACUAGCGGUAAAGCCGAAUCAAUCCUGUGAUUUUUUCUUCACUUGGGGUUUCACAAGCACUCAUAAUUUCUACACUAAAGUGCUUGCUAAUGGACUUAUAGGAUCUUUAUCCAUCCAAUAGAAAAUUCAUAACAAUGUUAUCUUGAAAAUACCUUAAAUUUCUUUUCCUUGUUUCUAUCUUUAGUAAAAUAAAAAUUAGUAAUAGGACAAGUAUUGGGUCAAGGAAGAGAAUCUCGAAGAAACCUACCAAGGAAAUAGAUAAUUCAUAUUACCUUCGUUCUUCCACACAGAAGGUAAAUCAAGAAUGGCCUUGCUGAUUUCUCAUAUCUAAUUGGCUUCUAGUUGUGAGAAGCUAACAGCUUCGAUGUUUGCUCUUCGUCCGCCUCACCUAUCUCUUUCAAAAAAUAAUUCUUUCGUCAUGGUGUUAGUUUGCGUCGAAGUUUUAUGCUUCGUUCCCAAUCCCUAAUUUUCCGAUUAUUGUGUUUGUAGAGAAUAU